rnacentral:lncRNA from 1 species
CUGACUUUGAAUGCACUUCAGUUCUUUCCUGCUGUUAUCAUCCUGCAAAAGCAAAAGGUUCUUUUAAAGACCAGAUUCUCACAGUGCAGCAUUGUCUAAUUUGAGAACAAGGUGCAACUGGCUCCCCCAUAGAGAAAUACCUCUCUGAUCUGCUCCUCACAGUGCCAAAGGAACUGUUUAGAGCAAAGGGCUGUGGACUGCUCAGCUGUGCUGACAUCCAAAAAGAUAAAACACAAGACAGGAGGUGACAAACUGACUGGCAAGAGCAGACACAUGGGACAAAAAGCAGUUAUGAUUCUUCAUCUGACAGUCAUCUAUGAAAUGAAAUUCAGCAAAGCUUUUAAGGAAAGUGAAAAUGAGUGAUGAAAAUGAGACCUUGCACAGUUAUCCACGUCCCCAGCACUGUGGAGAGCAC